rnacentral:rRNA from 1 species
CGUAGGGUGCGAGCGUUAAUCGGAAUUACUGGGCGUAAAGGGUGCGCAGGCGGUUAUGAAAGACAGGCGUGAAAUCCCCGGGCUUAACCUGGGAACUGCGUUUGUGACUACAUGACUCGAGUACGGCAGAGGGGGGUGGAAUUCCACGUGUAGCAGUGAAAUGCGUAGAGAUGUGGAGGAACACCGAUGGCGAAGGCAGCCCCCUGGGCCAGUACUGACGCUCAUGCACGAAAGCGUGGGGAGCAAACAGGAUUAGAUACCCUGGUAGUCCACGCCCUAAACGAUGUCAACUGGUUGUUGGGUCUUUACUGACUCAGUAACGAAGCUAACGCGUGAAGUUGACCGCCUGGGGAGUACGGCCGCAAGGUUG